rnacentral:rRNA from 1 species
AUUGAGCGCUGGCGGCAGGCUUAACACAUGCAAGUCGAGCGGAGAUGAGGUGCUUGCACCUUAUCUUAGCGGCGGACGGGUGAGUAAUGCUUAGGAAUCUGCCUAUUAGUGGGGGACAACAUUCCGAAAGGAAUGCUAAUACCGCAUACGCCCUACGGGGGAAAGCAGGGGAUCUUCGGACCUUGCGCUAAUAGAUGAGCCAAGUCGGAUUAGCGAGUUGGUGGGGUAAAGGCCUACCAAGGCGACGAUCUGUAGCGGGUCUGAGAGGAUGAUCCGCCACACUGGGACUGAGACACGGCCCAGACUCCUACGGGAGGCAGCAGUGGGGAAUAUUGGACAAUGGGCGGAAGCCUGAUCCAGCCAUGCCGCGUGUGUGAAGAAGGCCUUUUGGUUGUAAAGCACUUUAAGCGAGGAGGAGGCUACCUGGAUUAAUACUCUAGGAUAGUGGACGUUACUCGCAGAAUAAGCACCGGCUAACUCUGUGCCAGCCGCCGCGGUAACAC